rnacentral:tmRNA from 1 species
GGGGCUGCACUGGUUUCGACGGGGGCAGUGAGGCAGGAUAAGCGGGCGGAGGUGUCUGACCUCCUUAAACCGGGCAAUUUUUAAAAUUAACUGACAACAAUACUGUUGCUCUGGCUGCCUAAUUAGGCGCCCAUCCUCCCCGGAAGGACCACGAGCCGGGCUAGGGUGUGAUCUUAGUGGUGACCGUGCGGCGGGAAAGAGUUGACUCGCCCAUGCAUCAUGACUCUACUAAGCCGAUGAGAGUGUUUGUUCCCGCUUCGGCAAGGGAAUGUAAAUAACAAACUGCGCCCGAAGAAAGUCCUGUCAAGUUGUUUUCGGACAGGGGUUCGAUUCCCCUCAGCUCCACCA